AUCCCACGGCAGGUUCCUGACCAAAGUGUUUACACCCGUCCGGCACCAGGCAUCGUCAUGGGAGGCGUUUUGCCGUUUGGUUGCAUCUUCAUCCAGCUAUUUUUCAUCCUAAAUUCACUGUGGUCCAACCAAAUGUACUACAUGUUUGGAUUUCUCUUCUUGGUCUUCAUCAUUUUGGUCAUCACAUGUUCAGAAACUACCGUUCUACUCUGCUACUUUCAUUUGUGUGCUGAGGACUAUCACUGGUGGUGGCGCAGUUUUUUGACAAGUGGGUUUACAGCCUUUUACUUGUUCCUUUAUUGCGUCCACUAUUUCGUCACAAAACUGGAAAUUCAAGAUGCCACAUCCACUUUCCUUUACUUUGGAUACACUUUCAUCAUGGUUUUCAUGUUCUUCCUUCUUUCCGGGACCAUUGGUUUCUUUGCUUGCUUUUGGUUUGUCCGCAAAAUUUAUUCAGUGGUGAAAGUGGAUUAAUUUUAUGUUACAAAAAUGCUGGCCAUACCUACUAGCAAGCAUUAAUAAAGCUCAUGCACACCAGUAUUGAUCAGUGUUCUGCCGAAUAAAAUUUUCGAAUAAAAUUUCAAAUAACGAAUAAGGAAAUCAUCGUAUU
rnacentral:misc_RNA from 1 species